rnacentral:rRNA from 1 species
CCUGGCUUAGGACGAACGCUGGCGGCGUGCCUAAUACAUGCAAGUCGAACGGUCUUUCUAUGGAAGCUUGCUCCACUGAGAAGAUAGUGGCGAACGGGUGAGUAACACGUGGGUAACCUGCCCAUAAGAGGGGGAUAACAUCCGGAAACGGGUGCUAAUACCGCAUAGUUUUCUUGAUCGCAUGAUCGGGAAAGGAAAGACGGCCUUUGUGCUGUCGCUUAUGGAUGGACCCGCGGCGUAUUAGUUAGUUGGUGAGGUAACGGCUCACCAAGACGAUGAUACGUAGCCGACCUGAGAGGGUGAUCGGCCACAUUGGGACUGAGACACGGCCCAAACUCCUACGGGAGGCAGCAGUAGGGAAUCUUCCGCAAUGGACGAAAGUCUGACGGAGCAACGCCGCGUGAGUGAAGAAAGGUUUUCGGAUCGUAAAACUCUGUUGUCAGAGAAGAACAAGUUGGAGAGUAACUGCUCCAGCCUUGACGGUAUCUGACCAGAGAGCCACGGCUAACUACGUGCCAGCCGCGGC